UCGUGAACCGCGAAUGGCUCAUUAUAACAGCUAUAAUUUACUUGAUCUUGACACAAUCCUACUUGGAUAACUGUGGUAAUUCUAGAGCUAAUACAUGCAUUAAAGCUCCGACCUCACGGGAAGAGUGCAUUUAUUAGAACAAAACCAAGCGGCUUCGGCUGUUUCUGGUUGACUCAUAGUAACUGAGCUGAUCGCAUGGUCUUGCACCGGCGACGUGUCUUUCAAGUAUCUGCCGUAUCAACUUUCGAUGGUAGUGUAUCUGACUACCAUGGUGAUCACGCGUAACGGAGAAUAAGGGUUCGGCUCCGGAGAGUUCGCCUGAGAAAUCGCGAACACAUCUAAGGAAGGCAGCAGGCGCGAAAAUUACCCACUCUCAGCACGAGGAGGUAGUGACGAAAAAUAACGAGACCGUUCUCUCAUGAGGCCGGUCAUCGGAAUGGGUACAAUUUAAACCCUUUAACGAGUAUCUAUGAGAGGGCAAGUCUGGUGCCAGCAGCCGCGGUAAUUCCAGCUCUCAAAGUGCAUAGAAUUAUUGCUGCGGUUAAAAAGCUCGUAGUUGGAUCUGUGCCAUAGGACUGGGUCCACCUUCGGGUGCGUACUCAGCUCCUAGGCUUUUUGCUGGUUUUCCCGUCGUAGCCUUCACUGGUUGCGGCGGGUGGCUGGCGAGUUUACUUUGAGAAAAUCAGAGUGCUCAAUACAGGCGUAUCGCUUGAAUGAUUGUGCAUGGAAUAAUAGAAAAGGAUUUCGGUCCUCUUUUAUUGGUUUUGUGGACUGAGAUAAUGGUUAACAGGGACAAACGGGGGCAUUCGUAUCGCUGCGUGAGAGGUGAAAUUCUUGGACCGUAGCGAGACGCCCUACU
rnacentral:rRNA from 1 species